rnacentral:rRNA from 1 species
AUUGAACGCUGGCGGCAGGCCUAACACAUGCAAGUCGAGCGGGGUUUUCGGACCUAGCGGCGGACGGGUGAGUAAUGCGUAGGAAGCUACCCGAUAGAGGGGGAUACCAGUUGGAAACGACUGUUAAUACCGCAUAAUGUCUACGGACCAAAGUGUGGGACCUUCGGGCCACAUGCUAUCGGAUGCGCCUACGUGGGAUUAGCUAGUUGGUGAGGUAAUGGCUCACCAAGGCGACGAUCCCUAGCUGGUUUGGGAGGAUGAUCAGCCACACUGGAACUGAGACACGGUCCAGACUCCUACAGGAGGCAGCAGUGGGGAAUAUUGGACAAUGGGCGCAAGCCUGAUCCAGCCAUGCCGCGUGUGUGAAGAAGGCCUUCGGGUUGUAAAGCACUUUCAGUAGGGAGGAAGCGUUGUGUGUUAAUAGUACACAGCGUUGACGUUACCUACAGAAGAAGCACCGGCUAACUCUGUGCCAGCAGCCGCAGUAACAC